GUGUGCGGUACCUUUCACAAGAAGGUGUCAUUCAUGUGGACUUAAAUAUGAAUGGGGCCUUUUUGAGAAGAGUAAUGUACAC
rfam:Ailuropoda melanoleuca scaffold2028_2, whole genome shotgun sequence.